rnacentral:misc_RNA from 1 species
GAAAUGCGAUAAGUAAUGUGAAUUGCAGAAUUCAGUGAAUCAUCGAAUCUUUGAACGCACAUUGCGCCCCUUGGUAUUCCGAGGGGCAUGCCUGUUCGAGCGUCAUUAUAACCAAUCAAGCCUGGCUUGGUGUUGGGGUUCGCGAUUCCAGCGGCCCUUAAAACCAGUGGCGGCGCCAUCUGGCUCUAAGCGUAGUAAUUAUCCUCGCUACAGAGUCCUGGUGGAGGCUUGCCAUAACCUAACUACUCACGGUUGACCUCGGAUCAGGUAGGGAUACCCGCUGAACUUAA